rnacentral:rRNA from 1 species
AGACGUAGGGCGCGAGCGUUGUCCGGAUUUAUUGGGCGUAAAGAGCUUGUAGGCGGCUUGUCGCGUCGACCGUGAAAACCUGUGGCUUAACCAUAGGCUUGCGGUCGAUACGGGCAGGCUAGAGUGCGGCAGGGGAGACUGGAAUUCCUGGUGUAGCGGUGAAAUGCGCAGAUAUCAGGAGGAACACCGGUGGCGAAGGCGGGUCUCUGGGCCGCUACUGACGCUGAGGAGCGAAAGCGUGGGGAGCGAACAGGAUUAGAUACCCUGGUAGUCCACGCUGUAAACGUUGGGCGCUAGGUGUGGGGAGCCUCUCCGGUUCUCCGUGCCGUAGCUAACGCAUUAAGCGCCCCGCCUGGGGAGUACGGUCGCAAGGCUAAA